AUGUCUCAUGAUGCAUGUUAUUUGUAAAUGAUAUUGUCAUAGUGGAUGAAAUUAGUGGAAAAGUUAAUCAAAAGUUAGACUUGUAGAGGACUCUUGAUUCUUGAGAGGAAAAAGUUUUAGACUAAGUAAAAAUAAAACAGAAUAUAUGCAUGCAAAUUUAGUUCUCAUAGAAGGAAUAGAGGAAGUUUCAAUUCGAUGAAGUUUUGAAGCCAAAACGCAAUCAAUUUAAAUAUGUAGGUUCUACCAUCUAAAAGAACAAAGUAAUAGAUAAAGAUAUAACUCACAGGAUCAAAACAAAAUGGAUGAAA
rnacentral:misc_RNA from 1 species